rnacentral:rRNA from 1 species
UACGAAGGGGGCUAGCGUUGCUCGGAAUCACUGGGCGUAAAGGGCGCGUAGGCGGCGUUUUAAGUCGGGGGUGGAAAGCCUGUGGCUCAACCACAGAAUGGCCUUCGAUACUGGGACGCUUGAGUAUGGUAGAGGUUGGUGGAACUGCGAGUGUAGAGGUGAAAUUCGUAGAUAUUCGCAAGAACACCGGUGGCGAAGGCGGCCAACUGGACCAUUACUGACGCUGAGGCGCGAAAGCGUGGGGAGCAAACAGG